rnacentral:lncRNA from 1 species
GAAAACACUUAAGCCACUCCAAAAAAGGCUGAAGUAAAAACAGUAGGUUAGGAGAAUUCUUAAAUCAUUGCUCUGCCCUUGUUAUUUCUUGUUAAAACAUAGUGUUAACAUAUUGUAUGAAUGUCAUUGCAGGUGCUCUGCUUGCAAAUCACUGGUGUUUGGGUGAUGGCAAAGAUUCAGAGCUUUGCACUUCGACAGGUUAGUUUGAGCCUGUGAAGCCUGUGCACACCGGUAAGUAUGUAAAGAACUGCAGGAUUGUGCGUGUGUGUACAACUAAUAAACAUGUUAAGAUGCAAUAUAAAAGAGCACAAAGAGAAGUGCUAGGAAGGCAAAGCAAUGAGAAAGAAAAUACAGUGGUACCUCUAGUUACGAACUUAAUUCAUUCCAGAGGUCUGUUCUUAAUCUGAAACUGUUCUUAACUAGAGGCGUGCUUUCGCUAAUGGAGCCUCUUGAUGCCACUGUGCCGCCGGCACAUGAUUUUUGUUCUCAUCCUGGGGCAAAGUUCUCAACUCGAGGUAACUUUUCCUGGUUAGCGGAGUUUGUAACCUGAAGCAUUUGUAACUCAAGGUACCACUGUAAUGCCGAUAAAGCAAUCUACGUACUUUCACAGAACUGCUUGAAUAUUCGUCCUCCAUUGCAAUUAAGUUUUCACUUGCUCUCUGCAUUCACUUAUGCCUUUCUUUCUUUCUUUCUUUCUUUCUUUCUUUCUUUCUUUCUUUCUUUCUUCAUUCUCUAGGUGAGCUUCCUGCUCCUGUUUGCUUAUUAAAUGCAAGUUUGGUUCCUGAAGUGAAAAUUAUCUUCGCACUAUGUGUUUGCCCAUUAGAGGUUGUGCUGACCAAAUUUCUUUUUUGUAAAGACGGGGCUCUUAUUUCAUCCAGAAAGCAAUAUCCCAAAAUGCUCAAUAAAUAGUCUAUGCAUUCUCGAAGAAUGCUGGCCAGUAUUCAGAGUUGCUGUAUCCUAAAAUUCUCAUCCUAUUGGAAACUUGACAUAGGAUUUCCUCAUAAGAUCUUUUUGCUCACCUAACUAUUAAUCUUCUAUACCUUCUAAAAAAUUAAAUAGAGAGUUUACAACCCCAAAUGUCUAAAUAAAAAUGGAGGUGGCAUUAAAAUGCUUUAAAUAAAUAAAACAGAAUAGAACAUUGCAUGCACUUUCCACCAAAAAAGAAAUAAAUGAAGGCAGUAUACAACAAACAAUUAUUGGGGGAGGGGGAGAACAGUGCUUAAAAAGAAAUACAGUAAGACAAAAAUAAAGGUUAUAAAGCAAUCUAAUUCCACAUGAUUACUCAAAUGUUCACUCUAUUGCAAAAACAUUUUCACUUACUCUCUUUAUUCAUUUAGGCUCUUUAUUUCUUCAGUUCGUUCGUUCUCUAGGUAAACUUCCUGCUACUGAUUUAUUUUUGAAUGCAACUUUGGUUCAUGAAGGGGAAUUUAUCACAGCACUAUGUGUGGCUCCAUAAGAGGUUAUGCUGACCAGAUUUUUUUCCUGUAAAGAUGGGGCUCCUGUUUCAUUCAAGAAAGCAACAUUUCAAAAUGCUCAAUACAUAGUCUAUGCAUUGCCAAAGAAUGCUGGCUACUAUUCCUGUGCAGCAGAAGGAUGCAAAGAACCAAGUGAAGACAUCUGCCCUCAGUGUUGCUCAGAAUCUGAUUCUCCAAUCAGGUAAGGUUGUAGAAAUGAUCAGUCUAGGAAGACACCUGCAAGAGAAUGUUGCAAGGUGGGAUAGUCCUGUUUAGAGUUCCAGCUAGCCAGCUGUGACAUAUUCCAGCAUAGUUAAUUUCAUUCUACAUCCAUUUGGUUUCUAUUCCCCCACAAAAAUUAAUCAGUAUUUCCUAGCCAAAGAGCAUGUUCAGUCCUCCCUAGUCUGCUUUUGAGAUUCAACCUUACAGUGUUGUUCAUCGGUUUACAUACAAACUGUGAAAAGUAUUCAUGUGUCCGGUUUAUGUGUCUGGCCUUUACGGAUGGGACUUAGAUCAGCUCAAGUCCAUCUCGUUUUAUUUUUGCUGGCACUGCAUACGUUACUAAAGAAUGCAUGAAAAGUUACAGGUGUUGUUCUAUCCAACUAUACUUUCAGCAGGCCCAAUGGAAUUAAUAGAUCCUAGUUAGUCGCAACCAUUGACUUCAGUGGGAACCAUUGACUUUAGUUGGAAAGAAAUCCACUGUUAUGAUGCACAUUCAUACAUACAUUAAACGACACCAUUUGUAUGCAUUCCUCAAAAUAUGUAUUUUUACAAUACUUUUCAAUGCAUUUCCUAAUAAAAUACACAAUAUGUUAAAAUAAAUAUUUCUGUGGGCACUUUUGUGGCAAAACGACAUUACAAAAUCGAGAGAAGUUUGUGAAUCAACCAGGAGUUUUCUUCUGGUCAACAGGGGAGAGAUCAACCAUUUCUUACCCUUUGUUGUUCUUGAUGGCUUGAUGAGCCAUGCUUUUCUGAUAUUGUCCAUGUUUUUUCUUGCCCAUGUAAUUGUCCUUCCAAUGGUAAGUAAGCAUCCUUAGUGAGUAAAAAUAUUUAUUUAUCUUAUUGUUUGUUUUAGUAUGUCAUUUUAAAUCUUAGCACAGAAACAAAAUAAUGCAAUUUAUACUCAAACACAAGCACAAAAAGAAAACUUUUUUAUCAUUCCCCAACAGAGACCAUUAAUACCCUGAGACCACAUUAAUAGAAUCUUUUUACUACUGUAAAAAGUUUGAUAGCNNNNNNNNNNNNNNNNNNNNNNNNNNNNNNNNNNNNNNNNNNNNNNNNNNNNNNNNNNNNNNNNNNNNNNNNNNNNNNNNNNNNNNNNNNNNNNNNNNNNAGGGGUGAACAUGGUGGUUUUCCAUUCAUCCCCCUUCCUUAUUCGUAUCAGGUUGUACGCCCCCCCUUAAAUCCAGCUUGGUGAAAAUCUUUCCUUUCGCACCCUUGUCACAAUGUCGUCAAUCCUGGGCCUCGGGAAGGCCACUGGUUCUGACACUGCAUUUAAGGCCCUGAAGUCACACACCAGUCUCGGCUUGUUCGUGUUUUUUUUGUCCACAAAAACACUGGGCUGCCCCCACCGCCCUGGACUCUCUGAUGAACCCUCUCUUCAGGUUCUUGUCAAUGAACUCUCUUAGCUCCUGCAUCUCUCUGUCUGACAUGGCGUACAGCUUGCCCACAGGGAGCUGUGCCCCAGGGAGCAAAUUGAUUUGACAGUCAAAGGCUCUAUGCGGUGGUAGUUGGUCAGCUUCCCUUUCGCUGAAGACGUCGCGGAGAUCUGCGUAUUGUCGUGGUACCUUCACGUUCUCCUUCACUUCAGUCCCUGCUAGGGUGGCUUGGGCCCCUGCCAAAACCUUUCCCUCUUUGCAAUGUUCUAAGCAAUGUGCUGACCCAAAAGAAACCACUCUCUGAUGCCAGCCCACCAGCGGAUCAUGUAACGCUAGCCAGCUCAUCCCCAAUAUAAUGGGAGCUCCUCCCAAGGUGGCCACAUUAAAAGCUAUCAGUUCAGUGUGCCUUGCCACCUUCAUUAUCAUUGGGACGGUCUGCAAGCUGACUUCUCCUCCCAACAGCUCCCUGCCAUCGAUCGUGGUUACCUGCAGGGGUUGCUUAAAGGAGCGUCUGUAUCUGGUGUUCAGCUGCAAACUCUUUGCUCAUGAAAUUGCAGGAGCUGCCUGAGUCCAACAGCGCCUUUAUCUUUAGAGGGUGUCCGUUUGGGAGCUCUAGUGUCACUUCUAUCACUAGGGCGGGUUUAGGAGGUUCUGGAGUGGGCACUUUCACUGCUCUUUGGCCUGGCUGCUGUGCCCCGACAAUGGCAGCCAGGCGUUGGCUUUUAGUUGCUCCGGUAUUUUUCCUCUCUUCCCUCCACAGCUCCCACCAUCCCUUGCCAUUCCUUCCUCUGGGGGCAGACUCUGGCAAAGUGCCCUGGCUGUUGGCAGAGAUAGCAUUUCCGGGCGCCUUUUCCAUCCUUCUUUCCCCCUCACUGGGCUUUGAAACUGCGCGCGCGCGCUGUUCCGAUUUCCAUCGGCUCUGCCGGCGGGACAGUUGGCUCUGGAAUUUCUGGAAUGCGGAACUCCUUCCAACGUUCCCCUUUCCCUUCCCGCCUCUCCAAUGCUCUCGCCUCCUGGCGCGCUCCUAUGGCCAGCGCUGAUUUGGUCAGCUGGUCCAUAGACUCCGCCCUGGGCGCCCGGGAAAGUUCAUCUUUCACAGCCGAAGAAAGCCCUUCUUCAAAGAGCAUUUGAAUGGGUUCCGCCGAUAAGUCCCACCCCAAUCUGUGUAUCAGCAUGGUGAACUCAGUCCAGUACUCACGUACAGAUCGGCUCCCCUGUUUGCAAGCCAUUAACUGUCUGCGCACCACUCCCUUUUCAAUAUCGCUGGAAAACAUCAGAUCCAUGGCGCGAAAGAACUUCAUCGUGUCCUUUAAGACGUCACUAUUAGCUGCCAUCAGGGUUCUCACCCAGUCUCUCGCCCCCUUUUCAAGAUGCCCAAUCACAAAAGCCACUCGUGAUUCCUCAUCAGGAAAUCAUCAAACUGCAGAUUGAGGGCAUAUUGCAUUUCUGUCCGAAAGCUAUGAUAGUCUUUGGGCUCCCCCCCAAAUUUUUGCACCAAUCCUGGUACCUUUCUGGCGAGCUGGGUGGCUUUCUCCCUUUGUCUGCAUCUUGAGCCCUCCUCUCCUCCAGCCUCGCCGUCUGCAGCGCCAGCUGGACCUCCAACACUCGGUACCUUUCUUCCAGGCUUGGACCCGCUCCAGCCCCUGCUUCUCCGGUUCCUGCUGGGUUGCUCAUUAUGCCUUCUCCUGCACAAGCUGCGUUCAAAGACUGUCGGAAUGCUGAGAUGGGAUUAUGAGCUGCUUGUGCGUAAAAUCGUAUUCCCUCAGAGUUUGUUCAAGUCCACAAACCUCUGUCUGUGACUGAGCCCCUCUGACAUGGCUCCUCUUAGUCACUAGAAGAUUCCGACAGUGGUUGCUUUCGUAAUCGCUUCCAACAUAAAAGCUCCUUAACGGAAACACGUCUUCUGGACUCUCUGCGUGACAGUUUCCGGCGAGGAGUGGGUGUCGCUACAGGAGGUCCGGAAACCUCACCACUGUUUUCGCUGGAAGUAUCUCUGAGCCAUCCCCCCAGCUCCCUUUCCCUCAGUUCAGCUUCUCUCCCCCUGCUGGUUUCCUCUUCAGCUGCUAAGUCUCUUCCAACCUGUCUGAGUCCUUUCACCUCCCUUCCUACCGAUGGCAGUUCCCUGACAAUAGCACUCCUGAUGUCAAUGUCUGUUUUCUUCUUCUUUUUUGACCAAUUAUUGCCAUCAAUCGAGCCAGUUCGGUAUACAGAGAAAAGUGGCUAAAUAGUUUAUUUAUUCAAAAGAUAUGAGGGAGCAGCACUGCCUGAUUUAGUCUUGCCAUAUUUCAAAAAUUCCUAACACCCCAGCCUCCCCCCCAAAACAAACAAAAAAUAAAUUAAAAAUUCUCUCCUUUUUUGACAAAGACAAAUGACUGCCCUCAAUCAAGAGCCAGUUGGCUAGACAGAGAGUCAGGGAAAUGCAUCACACCUUACUGGUUUUCCCACUAUCUGUGCAAGCUUUUCACCAUAUCAUUUUAUGCCCCAUUCCGUGCCCAAUAAGUUUGGAGUGAUGCACACCCAGUGGAUCCAUUCCAUCAACAUGGGGAUUGUGAAAUGGUGAACGGAUCCCGGGACCCAAUGCCAUGCCAUCUCUUGCCCUGCCUGCUGCUGUCAAUAAAGAACUGGCCUGAUUUUAUCCCAUCAUUGUUGUACAGUCUGACUAUUUUGCUGUUCUCAUGGGUCACAUAAUGUGCCUGCCGGGGCAAAGAAUGAUUAAAAGAAACCAGCCACAAGAUAGAUCAUUCACACCCACUAUAAGAUUAACUUUAAUCAAUAACGAGAGUUUUAAGCCUCAGGUAAUAUAUAUGUUAUACUGCAGGUAUUUCAAUAGUUCAUUUCUGACUGGAGACUAUGUAAAUCAUAAGGUCUCCCUCUUCACCUUGCUGUGGACAUUUUGAGCGAACACCAAACUCGACAACUUUUUCCUCUUGUUCUCCCCUUCUCUAAAACAUCUUCAUAGGGUGGAUAGAAUGGAGUAUACAGGAAAUAGCUAUAGUUGAAAACUGAACAGAUUGUUUUUCUUUUACUCUUUUAUUAUAUGUUGCAAACUGCUACAGGUUACGUGUAUGAUUUUAGAUGAACAUUUAUUCUCUGUUGUCCAUUUUAAAGGCCUUUGGCUAUAUACAAUAAAAAUUGCUUGAUUGAUUGAUAGUUUUGAGAGAAUCAAUAGGAGUAUAUAAUCAGACUAGGAAAAGUGCUAUGAUACACUUGUACAUUCUUCCAACAAACAUCAAACCAUAGGGAACUUGUUAAUGUCUAUUUGUUGAUUUAUCUCCCUGCCUCUGGUCAUAUCUGAAUAGACACCCAAACCUUUCUGAUUUUUUUCUAUUGAAUGCAGGUCAGACAAUAUCUCCCUAUAUUUGGAUUCUCCGCUCCUCAUUGGUGCUUCUUCUCCUGGUCUCAGCGCCAAUCAUCACCUGUUUCAUGGAGAAGUGUGAUUGCUCCUUGGUUGGACCUAGAAACUAGGAAAUCCCAUUGGAAGAAAGAAAAAUGCCUCCAGACUGUGCUUUGUCUGUCCUCCUUCUCUCAUCCAUUUAUUCACUUACAAUAAUGUUUCCAGUAUUUUACUAAGCCGAGUUCAAGUACUGGUUUUGAUUUUUAGGGUUCCAAUAAAGGGCUUGGGUUCAUGAUGUCUGGUUAGCUUGCCAGAAGUUUUUACAGCAGGUACUGAAAGCAAUACAGCAAAGGUGUCUGCAUAGUAUUAAUGAACAUCUUCAAUGGAUAGCCUUUUAUCUACUGGGAUUUAUAUUAUUUUCUGCUU